AGGCCGGGAGAGAGGCAGGGGCUGAUCUGUAGCUUCCAUGGCAGCUGUUGAUCAGCCGCUGCCUCUCUCUUCCUCUCUC
rfam:Myotis brandtii contig251632, whole genome shotgun sequence.